GCCGAGGUGGUGAAAUUGGCAAACACGCGGGACUCAAAAUCCCGUGAGCCUCAACAGCUCUUGAGGGUUCAAGUCCCUCCCUCGGCA
rnacentral:tRNA from 1 species